GCCUUGAGAAUUGAAAGGUCAGUUUAUCCCAUUCAUACAAAAGAAGUUGGUAAAAUUGGCUUCAUGCCAUUUACCUUGUCCAAAAUCAAGGUCACUUUAUUGUUAUUGUGAUAUUGUUAAAGUACAAAAGAACCCUAUAUUCUGACCAAUGCUUAAACUUUGUGCAUCUUGAUUCAAUUGUUCAAAAUAUGUUAAUGUUGAAAUUUAGGGGUUACUUUCGGCCUUUUUUUUACGUGUUAGUUUUCUUUUCAGAUAUAAAAAAACUAAUAGACUCUGCUUGCAGGUUCUCUUGUUUUUUGUUUACACCAAAUUCUAAAGGAUUAUAAUUUAGUUGCAAAAUAUUCUAAACGAGAGCUGAUUUUUUUUUAUCUUUUAAUGUGAAUUGAAGGUUAAAUAAUUAUAAUGUGAAUUAGAAUGAAGAAAACAUCUUGGUCCCAAAAAAAAUCAUCAAUCAGGAUAUGAAAUUCCAAAUAUUAAUUUAUUAUACUAAAAUCAGUUCAUAUAGAAUAAACUUUUAAGAUUUUAUUGAUUCCUUUUAAAUUGAAAUCUCAAGCCACUGUUUUGCAGGUUUAGAUCAUGCCCCAACAGAAAACCAAUAAAUAUGACAGUACAAUGUACUCUAAGCACAAACACAUAAGGUCAGUGUGAAAUAGACAUCUAGGGCAGGAGCAAACUGUCAGUUAUACCAAACCAGUUUGACUAGAUCUCUAGUUUAAAACCAGUUUGACUAGAUGUGUAAAUUAUUCUUGGAAUAACAAUGGUGUGGCCUAUAUUUUGACAAGGUAAAUAACAUGAGGACCUGGAUGGGUUUUUUAAUAUCUGUAUUCUUUAAAGUUUUAGGGCAUUUUCUUUUAAUAGCCUUGAAAUAACUCUCAUUCUGUAAAAUUCUCAUGAAAAUGAUUUUACUAUUUAGUCUUUCUGUUACAAGAUUAUUUAUCAAUUAUGUUCAUUGAUCAUGAUUAUAUUAUCAGUAUGCCUUACAGUUACCUAAGUUACCUUUUUAUUAUGCACAGUUAUUCUUUAUACUUUUGCACUGCAGUAAAUUAUUCUCUAUUCUUUAUUUUGAUGUUCAUUUUCUCUAUUCUCUAUUAUUUUUUGUUGCUAUUACAUGUAUUCUCUAUUCUGUAAACCCCAUUCUGACCCUCAUAGGUAAACUUCUUUUGUAUGCAUGGGAUAAACUGACCUUUCAAUUCUCAAGGCUAAAUAAGUAUUUUAUAGGCUAGAUACAAACUUACCUGUCAAGGUAGAAUUGUAAUCUGAGUGGUAUUGGUGUUUCUCAAGUCACCAUAAA
rnacentral:lncRNA from 1 species